CCUACGGGUGGCAGCAGUGAGGAAUAUUGGUCAAUGGGCGCGAGCCUGAACCAGCCAAGUAGCGUGAAGGAUGACUGCCCUACGGGUUGUAAACUUCUUUUAUAAGGGAAUAAAGUGAGGCACGUGUGCCUUUUUGUAUGUAUUUUAUGAAUAAGGAUCGGCUAACUCCGUGCCAGCAGCCGCGGUAAUACGGAGGAUCCGAGCGUUAUCCGGAUUUAUUGGGUUUAAAGGGAGCGUAGAUGGGUUGUUAAGUCAGUUGUGAAAGUUUGCGGCUCAACCGUAAAAUUGCAAUUGAUACUGGCAGACUUGAGUCCAGGUGAGGUAGGCGGAAUUCGUGGUGUAGCGGUGAAAUGCUUAGAUAUGACGAAGAACGCCGAUUGCGAAGGCAGCUUACUAAACUGCAACUGACAUUGAUGCUCGAAAGUGUGGGUAUCAAACAGGAUUAGAUACCCUGGUAGUC
rnacentral:rRNA from 1 species